rnacentral:rRNA from 1 species
AACGAACGCUGGCGGCAUGCCUAACACAUGCAAGUCGAACGAGACCUUCGGGUCUAGUGGCGCACGGGUGCGUAACGCGUGGGAACCUGCCCUUAGGUUCGGAAUAACUCCCCGAAAGGGGUGCUAAUACCGGAUAAUGUCUUCGGACCAAAGAUUUAUCGCCUUUGGAUGGGCCCGCGUUGGAUUAGCUAGUUGGUAGGGUAAAAGCCUACCAAGGCGACGAUCCAUAGCUGGUCUGAGAGGAUGAUCAGCCACACUGGGACUGAGACACGGCCCAGACUCGUACGGGAGGAAGCAGGGCGGAAUAUUGGGCAACUGGCGAAAGUCUUACUCAGCAAUGCCGCGUGAGUGAUGAAGGACUUAGGGUUGUAAAGCUCUGUUACCCGGGAUGAUAAUGACAGUACCGGGUGAAUAAGCCCCGGCUAACUCCGUG